rnacentral:rRNA from 1 species
UACGGAAGGCAGCAGUGGGGAAUAUUGCACAAUGGGCGCAAGCCUGAUGCAGCCAUGCCGCGUGUAUGAAGAAGGCCUUCGGGUUGUAAAGUACUUUCAGUCGUGAGGAAGGUGUUAAGGUUAAUAACCUUAGCAAUUGACGUUAGCGACAGAAGAAGCACCGGCUAACUCCGUGCCAGCAGCCGCGGUAAUACGGAGGGUGCGAGCGUUAAUCGGAAUUACUGGGCGUAAAGGGCACGCAGGCGGUUAAUUAAGUUGGAUGUGAAAUCCCCGGGCUUAACCUGGGAAUGGCAUUCAAGACUGGUUAGCUAGAGUCUUGUAGAGGGGGUAGAAUUCCAUGUGUAGCGGUGAAAUGCGUAGAGAUGUGGAGGAAUACCGGUGGCGAAGGCGGCCCCUGGACAAAGGCUGACGCUCAUGUGCGAAAGCGUGGGGAGCGAAACAGGGAUUAGAUA